rnacentral:rRNA from 1 species
GUCGAGAGGCUUCUACAAUGGGGGAAACCCUGAUAGAGCGACGCCGCGUGGGUGAUGAAGGUCUUCGGAUUGUAAAGCCCUUUCAGCAGGGAAGAAUGAAGCGGGUGAUAAUACCAUCUGUUUCUGGACGGUACCUGCAGAAGAAGCUCCGGCUAACUCCGUGCCAGCAGCCGCGGUAAGACGGAGGGAGCAAGCGUUGUUCGGAUUUACUGGGCGUAAAGGGCGUCUAGGCGGGUCGGUCAGUCAGGUGUGAAACCCCCCGGCUUAACCGGGGAUCUGCACUUGAUACUGCCGGUCUUGAGUACGGAAGAGGAAAGCGGAAUUCCUGGUGUAGCGGUGAAAUGCGUAGAUAUCAGGAAGAACACCGGUGGCGAAGGCGGCUUUCUGGUCCGAUACUGACGCUGAAGCGCGAAAGUGUGGGGAGCAAACAGGAUUAGAAACCCCAGUAGUCC